UGGGGAAUUGUUCGCAAUGGGCGCAAGCCUGACGACGCAACGCCGCGUGGAGGAUGAAGGUCUUCGGAUUGUAAACUCCUGUUGAUCGGGACGAACAUCCACCGGGAUAACACCUUGGAGGACUGACGGUACCGAUUGAGGAAGCCCCGGCUAACUCUGUG
rnacentral:rRNA from 1 species